UACGUAGGGGGCAAGCGUUGUCCGGAUUUAUUGGGCGUAAAGCGCGUGUAGGCGGCCUGACAGGUCUGCUGUGAAAACUCGAGGCUCAACCUCGAGAUGUCGGCGGAAACCGUCUGGCUAGAGUCCGGAAGAGGAGAGUGGAAUUCCUGGUGUAGCGGUGAAAUGCGCAGAUAUCAGGAAGAACACCUAUGGCGAAGGCGGUUCUCUGGGCAUGUCCUGACGCUGAGGAGCGAAAGCGUGGGGAGCGAACAGG
rnacentral:rRNA from 1 species